UUACGGGAGGCAGCAGUGGGGAAUAUUGCGCAAUGGGGGAAACCCUGACGCAGCAACGCCGCGUGAAGGAUGAAGGUUUUCGGAUUGUAAACUUCUUUAGUCGGGGACGAAUAAUGACGGUACCCGAAGAAUAAGCCACGGCUAACUACGUGCCAGCAGCCGCGGUAAUACGUAGGUGGCAAGCGUUGUCCGGAAUUACUGGGUGUAAAGGGCGUGUAGGCGGGAAUGUAAGUCAGAUGUGAAAUUCCGGGGCUCAACCCCGGCGCUGCAUCUGAAACUAUGUUUCUUGAGUGCUGGAGAGGAAAGCGGAAUUCCUAGUGUAGCGGUGAAAUGCGUAGAUAUUAGGAGGAACACCAGUGGCGAAGGCGGCUUUCUGGACAGUAACUGACGCUGAGGCGCGAAAGCGUGGGGAGCAAACAGGAUUAGAUACCCCGGUAGA
rnacentral:rRNA from 1 species